rnacentral:rRNA from 1 species
GACGAACGCUGGCGGCGUGCUUAACACAUGCAAGUCGAACGGAAAGGCCCUGCUUUUGUGGGGUGCUCGAGUGGCGAACGGGUGAGUAACACGUGAGUAACCUGCCCUUGACUUUGGGAUAACUUCAGGAAACUGGGGCUAAUACUGGAUAGGAGCUCCUGCUGCAUGGUGGGGGUUGGAAAGUUUCGGCGGUUGGGGAUGGACUCGCGGCUUAUCAGCUUGUUGGUGGGGUAGUGGCUUACCAAGGCUUUGACGGGUAGCCGGCCUGAGAGGGUGACUGGCCACAUUGGGACUGAGAUACGGCCCAGACUCCUACGGGAGGCAGCAGUGGGGAAUAUUGCACAAUGGGCGGAAGCCUGAUGCAGCAACGCCGCGUGCGGGAUGACGGCCUUCGGGUUGUAAACCGCUUUCGCCUGUGACGAAGCGUGAGUGACGGUAAUGGGUAAAGAAGCACCGGCUAACUACGUG